GAGCGGCGGCGGCAGCGGCGGUGGGGGCUGCGCAACAACAAAACGUCGCCCGCCUCACGGCGUGUUACCGGACUCCGGGCGGCUGCGGCCAGGCCGGGGGGCAGAGGCCUCCCUGGCAGCGACGUGGGGUCUUUGCGGUGCCCGCCGGGGCCGCUUCCUCCACCUCCGGCCCUGAGCGGGGCGCCGGUGGCCCCCGCCUCUUCCCCCUCGGCCUUGCUGCCUCAGGCCUUUCUUAAAACUUUCCAUGUCUAAAUGGACUCCUGAAUGUAAUAUAGUUUAUACUCUAAAAGCGGAUAUGAAGAGUGAAGUUCCGUCUGAUGCACCAAAGAGACAGGAGAGUCUGAAGGGGAUCCUCUUGAACCCUGAGCCUAUUGGGGCAGCCAAAAGCUUCACUGCAGAAGUUGAGAUGAUUGCCAGUAAAGUAGGGAAUGAGUUCUCUCACUUAUGUGGUGAUUCUCAAAAGCAGAAGGACAUGAAUGGCAACCGUACAGACCAAGACAAAAGUAUUGUGGUGCGAAAAAAACGCAAGAGCCAGCAGGCUGGUCCUUCAUAUACUCAAAAUUGUCCUGAUAAAGAAAACCAAGGAAUCUUAGGAUUAAGACAGCAUCUAGAAACACAGAGUGAAGACAACGAUUCUUCUUUUAGUGACUGUAUCUCUUCGCCUUCAUCUAGUCUACAUUUUGGAGACUCUGACACAGUAACAUCUGAUGAAGAAAAAGAUGCUCCUGUGAGACACCCUCAGGCAGUGCUGAAUACUACGAGUAGAACUCACAGUGCCAGGUCACACAAGUGGCCUCGGACUGAGGCAGACUCUGUACCUGGGUUAUUAAUGAAAAGGCCCUGUUUUCACAACAGUUCUUUAAGAAGACUUCCAUAUAGGAAGAGAUUUGUGAAAACAAGUUCAUCACAGCGGACACAGAACCAAAAAGAACGAAUUUUAAUGCAGAGGAAAAAGCGGGAAGUGUUAGCUCGAAGAAAGUACGCUUUACUACCCAGCUCUAGCAGUUCCAGUGAGAAUGAUCUCAGUAGUGAGUCUUCUUCCAGUUCGUCUACUGAAGGAGAGGAAGACUUAUUUGUGUCGCCUGGUGAAAACCACCAGAACACUACAGCUGUUCCUUCAGGAAGUAUUGAUGAAGAUGUUGUGGUGAUUGAAGCAUCCUCCACUCCCCAGGUUACUGCUAAUGAAGAAAUAAAUGUUACCUCAACAGAUAGUGAAGUGGAGAUUGUCACAGUUGGUGAAAGCUACAGGUCUCGUUCCACACUUGGACACACAAGAUCACACUGGGGACAAAGCUCUACUUCUCAUGCUGCACGACCUCAAGAACAGCGGAACCGCAGUAGGGUUUCCACAGUCAUCCAGCCGCUGAGGCAGAAUGCAGCAGAGGUGGUAGAUCUCACGGUGGAUGAAGAUGGCUUGGGUGUGUGUCUGAGGACUGACUCACCAGGCAGAAAUUACAGAACAGAGCCGACAGUCGUGCCAACCACAUCAGCUAGAGUGGAGCCGCAGGUCGUGACUUCUGCCUCCAGUAACAGUUCUGGUACGUCUACCUCAGAGCAGGCCUCUGAUGCAGCUCCCAGCGUCUCCAGCAGCCAGCCCCCUGCAGCACCAGAGACAACUCCCAGUCUUCCCAGUGGCGGCACUGCUGGGCCUUCAGCUGGAGAUGAUAUAAGAAGAACUGCAUCUAAUACGACACUGGAAACUGGCCCUCCGGCCAUGCCAAGGUUACCAUCGUGCUGCCCUCAGCAUUCUCCUUGUGGAGGACCUUCACAGACUCAUCAUGCAUUGGGGCACCCGCAUACAAGCUGCUUUCAGCAGCACAGCCACCACUUCCAACAUCACCACCACCACCACCACAACCCUCACCCAGCUGUCCCGCUGUCUCCUUCAUUCAGUGACUCCAGCUGCCCUGUUGAAAGGCCUCCUCCAGUGCCUGCACCUUGUGGAGCAAGCAGCAGUUCGGGCACCAGUUACCAUGACCAGCAGGCAUUGCCAGUAGACUUAAGCAGCAGUGGUAUAAGAAGUCACGGAAGUGGUGCUUUUCAUGGAACAUCUGCUUUUGACCCUUGCUGUCCUGGUUCUUCAUCUCGAACUGCGAUUUACGGGCAUCAGGCUGGUGCAGGCCCGAGCCAGUCAAUAACAAUAGAUGGCUAUGGAUCGAGUAUGGUUGCCCAGCCACAGCCCCAACCCCCUCCUCAGGCAUCGCUCUCUUCUUGUCGGCAUUAUAUGCAUUCUCCUUAUGCUUCUUUGACCAGACCUCUUCACCAUCAAGCUUCUGCAUGUCCUCACUCUCAUGGAAAUCCUCCUCCACAGCCACAACCUCCACCUCAAGUAGAUUAUGUUAUCCCUCAUCCAGUGCAUCCCUUCCAUCCUUCAAUCUCCUCUCAUGCAUCUUCUCAUCCUGUUCCACCUCCACCUCCACCACCAACUCAUCCUUUAGCCAACGCAGCUGCUCCAAUACCCCAGCAUCUUCCUGCAACGCACCAGCCUAUAUCCCAUCACAUCCCUGCAACAGCACCUCCAGCACAGAGGCUACAUCCUCAUGAAGUGAUCCAGAGGAUGGAGGUCCAGAGAAGAAGAAUGAUGCAACACCCAACACGUGCUCAUGAACGGCCUCCUCCGCAUCCUCACAGAAUGCAUCCCAAUUAUGGUCACGGGCAUCACAUUCAUGUGCCUCAGACAAUGUCUUCCCAUCCUCGACAAGCUCCGGAGAGAUCUGCCUGGGAACUGGGAAUUGAAGCUGGUGUGACUGCAGCUACUUACCCUCCAGGGCCCUUGCAUCCUCACUUGGCCCACUACCACGCGCCUCCUCGACUUCAUCACUUGCAAAUCGGGGCUCUUCCUCUAAUGGUACCAGACAUGGCGGGCUACCCUCACAUCCGUUACAUUUCAUCGGGAUUGGAUGGAACAUCAUUCAGAGGCCCUUUCAGGGGCAAUUUUGAGGAGCUGAUUCACUUGGAGGAACGAUUAGGCAACGUUAAUCGUGGAGCAACACAGGGAACUAUAGAAAGAUGCACAUAUCCACAUAAAUACAAAAAGGUAACAACUGAUUGGUUCUCACAGAGGAAACUGCACUGCAAACAAGAUGGGGAGGAAGGAACAGAGGAAGAUACAGAGGAAAAGUGCACCAUCUGUUUGUCUAUAUUGGAGGAAGGUGAAGAUGUCAGGCGCCUUCCAUGUAUGCACCUGUUCCACCAAGUGUGUGUAGAUCAGUGGUUGAUUACUAACAAGAAGUGCCCCAUUUGCAGAGUGGACAUUGAGGCUCAGCUGCCUAGUGAAAGUUGACAGCGCUUUCCAGAACUCUUGUCCUCCCUCUCGCUCCCUCUCAUCCUUCCUGGUACUGCAGUCAACCAAAGAUGGCAUGACUUACCUGCGCAGAUUUGGAAGCAUUGAACCUAGGGUGCUGGCUCUGCUAUAUGUGACUGUUGAAAAGGAGGGAAGUUAGUUGACCACUGAUGCUUUGAAGUCUGAUGAUGCUCACUUUUAAACGUUUCCAAGAAGGUACUUGAGAGACAUGAGACAAAAAACCCCAGGGCCUCUGAAAUAACUGAGACCCUGGAUGCGUGGUAGAAUCUAUUUUGGCUUCCUUACAGGACAAAGAAGCACAGGUUUGGGGGAUUUUUAUUUUAUUUGUUUUUAGGAAAUCUUUUAUGCACCUGAUUUGGGUGCCUGGUACUAGAGGUAUUUUAGUGGUCCAUGAAUUGACUUGUUUUAUAACUGCUACUGAUAAUUGUCUUGCUUUUAAAUGUAUGCAUAACAUUGUAAUGUGAUGUUGAACACUUAGGUAUUUGCCAGGAAUCACAGUGUUCUGAUCUUACAUGCUAUUGCAGGGGCUAAUAAAGCUGCAGCCUACUUCUAUUCCAGAAAGUUGUGACUUAACCGUAAUUUAUGGGAAGAAAAAAGAAUAGGCAUUUGAUUUUUGAAAAUUUCCACCACUUACUGUGCUUUAUAUGCUUAGAUGCAUUGCCUUAAGUUUUUCUGCAGCAUCUUUGACUUUGAAGAUAAGAUUCUCAACAGUAUACAUCAAAUUACUUUUCAUAUAAAAUUCCAUUGUCAAAAGAAAUCCUUUUGUAUGCAAUAAAUAAAAUGUUAAGACUGGUAUCAUUCAAAAUAUG